rnacentral:lncRNA from 1 species
AUUGAUCCAAAAGUUUCAAAUAUGGUUGGAGGCAACCAAGAAGAAAGAGCUGUUAACGGUCCCUACAUAGACAGAAAAAAUAAAUGUAUUAUUUUACCCUAAUAAUAUUCAUGGGAAAAUCAUAUUCGCUUUGCUCACACUAAAAAACAACUGAAGUAGGUGGAAAAUAUAGAAGAAUUGAAAGGAUGCAUAUGUGAAUGACACAAUAAGAUCAUCAUGUAUGUGCAGCCAGGUAGCAUAAAGGAUUGCGUGAGGGUGAGGCGCAAAUUUUAAGGUGGCAUAGUAUCAUUGUGAUUCCACAUCACAGCAACUACAAAGGAUUUGGCUUUAAUUCAACAAAUUCUUGGCGAGGAAACUCGCAUUUAUGCCGUUGACAUUUUUAGACAAGUUAUAUGAGAAUACUGUUUAAAUUUUAUUUUUAAUUUAAAAAAAAAUUAAAGUAACAUUGGAUUAAGUAAGGGUAAAAUUACUAGCAAAAUAUCAUUUCUUCUCUAUUUUAAAUAGUAAAAAGAGAAAUUCACUAUCUCUCUUUUACUUCUCUUAAAUCAAUCACAACCUAUAGAUUGGCUUCAAUGCAUGACUUAAUCUCAUUUCAUCAAAAUCAAAGGGUAGCAUGAAUCUAAUUAGAUAAUACUACUAACAUGAACAAAUUUAAUAUAAAAAAUCUGAUUCAUUGAGUCAUUAAUUUGGAUUUCAUUCUUCUAGAUUUGGUGUGUUGAUUUAUAUAUCUGAUCAGUAAAAAUGAAAUUCAAUAAAUCAAAAAUAAAUUUAAUAUAUGAAUAAUCUUAAUUUAUUUUAUGGUUUCUAAGCCAUCUUUAAUUUUUAUUAUGAGGAUUCUUAUAUACUUAUGACAAAAUAAGUCUAAAAAAGAAAUUGAAAUUUCAUAAACUUUUAUUUGACACAAGAUAUAUCAUAAACUUAUAAAUAUAAUUUAUGGUAUUUUCUUACAUUGUUUCUGUAUAUAAAGUUUGAUUUUUGGUAGUUUUUUAUUCUUUUAUGUUUUCUCUAUUUUUAAUCAUGUAUUCAAUUUCUUUUUAUUUUAAUAUUAAAUCUGAUGACAAUAUUUAAAUAAGACGAAGUUAAUCAGAUUGGUUAAAUUAAGAAUAAUAGUUCACUUUUAAGAGAUUUAAAUUAAUUCUAGUCAAACAAAGUUAAUUAAUAAGAACUUUUUUUUAAAACUCAAAUCAAUUCAACUAAUAUUUAUUUCGUCAAAUCUCAUCUCAAAUUCGCUCUUCCAAACUUAUAUAUUUAGGGGUGUAUAAGGACGCAAGUCGAUCUGUCAAUCCGAUUUUUAUCCGUACCAGUUACUUUCACGUUCGAUCCGACUCAAUCCAUUGAAACCCACUUAUAUUUGGUUCGGAUAAUGGGUUCAACAAUUUAAACUCGUCGAUCCGACCCGGUAACUGGUUAUACUUUUUUUUUAAAAUUUUGUUUGGCAGCCCAAUAGGGUUUCAUUACUUUUCAGAUUUUCUGCGGUCGUUAUCCACCUUCUUCUUUUGUUCCAUAUCUAUGUCUACAUUCUUCUUCUAUUCCAUAUAUGUGUCCACCUUCUUUUUAUGUCUUUCUGAAGUCAUUGCCGUUGCCCACCUUUUCUACCAGUCGCGCUGCCGCCACGUUCUUCUUUUGUUACGUAGGAGCUCAUAACUAAUAUUUAUUUAAAUGUUAUAUUUAGUUAUAGUUUUGCAUAAUGAAGGUAUGAACUGAAAGCUUAUGCUUAUGGUGAAUUUAGUUUAAAUUUUUUACAUUUGUUAAAUACAAAAAUAAUGAAGCACUACUAUAUUUAGUAUUGUAUUUGAAAAUAGCAAGUACUUUAAAAAUACACAAAUGAAGCACUACUAUUAAAAAAUAAUGGUAGUUUUGUAAACUAAAAUGGUUGUUGAGUUAUGUGUAAUGAUAAAAGUAAUGUGGUGGAUAGAGCCGUCAAAAAAGCCUCCAACUAUAAGGCCCCCUUACAUUUUUUGUUUUAUUAUUAGGCCCCCUAACAAAAUAAUCUUUUAAGGGCCCCUUAAUUUCGGCCCAUUAUUUCAUGGGGCCUAAGGGAGGGGGCUCUAGGGGCCCAUAGGCCCCCAAUAUUUUGUUAAUUUUAAGAUUUUUUUCUUGAAAAAAAAUUUAUUAAAAAAAAAAUAAAAAUUUUUUAUCGAAAAAAGAAAUCAGAAAUUUUUAUCGAAAAAAAAUAGGAAAUUUUUUAUCGAAAAAAAAUCGAACAUUUUUUAUCCAAAAAAAGUCGGACAUUUUUUAGCGAAAAAAAUUGGAAAUUUUUUAUCGAAAAAAAUCAGACAUUUUUUAUCGAAAAAAAGUCGGAAUCUUUUUAUCGAAAAAAAAUCAGAAAUUUUUUAUCGGAAAAUUUUAUAGAAAAAAAUAAAAAAAAUUUAUCGGUGAAAUAAUUGAAAAAUUUUAUUUCUCAAAAAAGAUAAUCGAUUCUUUUUUAAAAAAAGUGGGCCUAUGGGCCUCCUAAGCCCACAAAAUUUUAGGGGGUUUUUAGUUUAGGGGGCCUUAUUUUUUGGGCCUUUUAAAUUAUUAAUUUUUUUAGCCCCUUCAAAAUGUGGGCUGGGGCCAAUAAUUAGGGGGCUUGUCAAAUUGACAGGUGGACCAAGUAGCUGUUUUCUCUUAUUUAUUUUUUUACCUUUGAAAGUUUUUAACUAUAUUAUUGCAAAAAUUUCAGACAAAUGGAACAAGUACAAGAAGCUGCUAAUCAAUUUUUUUCACAAGCACAAGAAUUAGGGCUCUUAUCAUUGUCGUCAACUCAAGGAAAUGAGUUAACCAAAAGAAAACCUAGUAAAGCCUCUUCUAGUGUUUGGUUACAUUUUAAUAAGAGAAACUAUACAGGUACAUGUAAGUAUUGUGGGAAAGUGUACGCCUCAAUAUAUUUUCCCGUAAAAUAAAAAAUAAAAAAAAAUAAAAAAAAAACAGGUUAUUAUUUAUGUAUAACCCGCCAAUCCAACCCAACAUGUUCUUGAUCGGUUCAAUUUGGGUUAAAUAAAUAAAAAAAUAUGAGUUUAGAACUUAACCCAACCCAAAAAUAAUUGAUCGGGUCAUGUAUCGAAUUUUAUCAAAAUCGAUCCAACUCAAUCCACAUACACCACUAUAUAUCUUUUACUAUGCGUAAGAUUCUAAUAGUUAAUUCGCGAUAAUUAAUAAAACUAGUUAUUCUAGUUCAUGGUAUUUAAGUAGUCGAUAAUGUAUACUGUAUUUAUAAAUUAUUUUUAACUAAAGGAAAUUAUUUAUCUUUUUAUUUACCUUUUGAAUUCUCAAAGGAGAAAGAGUUUAACUUUCCUUGUACCGUAUUUAUUUCUUUUGGCUAAAAAAUAUAAAAUAAAUAGACUUAAUUACAAUUUUAGUCUUCAUAUUUUUACUGAUUCGAAAAUUGAUCCCUUAUUUUAAAAGUCGUCAGUUUUGGUCCUUCUCUCUAAUUUUUUAACUAAAAAAUGAAGAUUUGACAUAUUUUUAAUGACGUGACAUACAAUUAUAUGAUAUAGAACCAUCUAGAUGCAUUAAUUAUUCAUAUGUUAUUAAUUAAAUGAAAAAUAUAUAAAUAAAUAAAUUGAAGUUGAAAUAUAAAUUUUUACGAUGUUUUAUUCUAAUUACAUGAUUGUUAAUCAUUAUAAAACAUGUAUCAUAUGUCACAUUAUUUAAACCAUAUUGCAUCAUCAUUUUUUACUUAAAAAAUUAGAGGGAGGGACCAAAAUUGUCGACUUUUAAAAUAAGGGAAUCAAUUUCGUAAAUCAAUAAAAAUAGGAGGACUAAAACUGCAAUUAAAGGAAUCUUAUAAUUAACAAAAACUUCUAAAGAGAUUUCUAUAUGUAAGGACAUACACACUAAAUUUUAAUUCAAUAGUAUUUUUAUCAAUAAAUCCCAUCUCAAAAACCAUUAUACAAUCCUCAUUUUAGACCUUUGGAUUAAAUGUAUUUUUCCUCUCUUAUUUUGUUAAAAAUGACUUUUUAGUUUUUUAUUUCUAAAAUUAGUUUUUUUGUCUUUCUAUUAAUUAAUUCUUAAAACUUUUUUGGCAAUCUAUCAUUUUUUAUUAUGUGUAGGAAUGAGAAUAGGUCAGACCGAUCGACAUGGGACUAUAGCUUAUCCUACGUCAGGUUCAGACCAGACCAGAAUUUUUUCUUAAACAGAUAAGGUUUAGGCUUCUAAAAUAGUCUAUUUAGUUAAAAAGGUCAGACUAUAUAAUAAGUCUUUUAGGCAUAUCAAACCGCCUAUUUAAAUAAAUAUAAAUCAUAUUUUUUUACUAUUAUAAUUAUUAUAUUAAAUUUUGAUCUUUUUGUUAUAUAUUCAACUUUUAAUACUUUACGCAUAUUAACCUCAUUUAAUUUUUGACAUAUUUAAAUGUAUUAUUAUAAAGUAUAAUAUUUAUAAAGUCAUAUUCUUCAAAAUGUGAUGUUAAAUAUCAAAAUAGAACUUGAUUUCAUUGAUAUAUUAACUUGUUAAUCUAUUUAAAGAUAUAUUUGAUUACUUAUUCAAAAAUGUUAAAAUGAAAUAUGCUUUUAAGUAGGCUAACAUGUCAUACCAGACUUCUAUCAAGGUCAGACUCAGACCUUAAAAGUAAGCCUAUGACAGACCACAUAUCAGACUUAGGCCUUGAAUUUUUUGACUGGUCAGGCUCAAGCCUAGCAAAGCCUAGAUCGGCUCAGCCUAUUAUCACCCCUAAUGAUGUGACACUCUCAUUAAUAAUGUCGGACUUAGAUGACAUAUUAUAGUAUUAUAAAAAAUAUUGUAAAAUAGUCUUGCUAUAUGAACGAAGUUAAUAUGAAAACAAUGAAUAAAAACUAAGACAUUGGUUCAUAAAAGAUGAUGCAUGAAAAGCAGCACAAAUUAUAAACAAAACAAAAUUAUUAUACUAGUUUAUUUUAGAGAAACAAAAUUUAGAUACCGAAUUUGCAAGAUUAUUUUGCCUCCCUUUUUAUCUCCAUCUAGGAUUUUUCUUUUCUUUUUUUAAAUCAGUGAUUAUGGAGAAGAUUGUGUAAGAAUGACACAAUAGAGAACCAAUAGAGACUUUCUAGUAUGCGGAUUCAAGCAUAUAAAAUCAGUCUCUAAUAAAUUAAGGUUAAGUAAUUAGGGUUAAUCAUCUAAAAUCAGUCUCUAAAAUCACUAUUAUUUAUAUUAAUAAAUUAGGGUUAAGUAAUUUAAAGAAAUAAAUGUAUACCAUUAAGACUAAUUAAGUUGGAUCCUUAAGUUUUAUUUUCUUUUAAAAACUUUUCUCAAAUUCCAAAAAAUCAUAUUAAAUAGAAAUCAGUCAUAUUUAAUUUACUCCAAAAAAUUUCAUAUUUAUUAAUUUUUAUUAAAUAAAAUUUAAAAGUUUUGAUUUUUUUUUAUUACCAUGUUAUUAUUAGACCAAAAUAGUAGUAAGUAAAAAUAAAUAAAAAGUCUAACAUAUAUGUAUUCUUAUUACCAAGCGAAUAUCAUAAAAAAAAAAACUAAAUAAAAAUUAUAUAUUGAAAUAAUAAAUAGAAAUAAAAAGUUCAAAAUACCUUUUUUUAUUAGUUUUUUGUUGUUGUGAAUAUAAGAAAAAAUAGAUAAAAUUAGGUGAAAUAGUUGCCCCUGUUUACUUAGAAUUUACUAAAGAAUCAAUAUAAAUAAUAAGUAAAGACGAAGUCUCUAAUUUUGUUCGAAAAAGUUAGUAUUGCAAAGAAAGAUGUGAGUCGUUUUCUCUGCUUCACAUAUGAGUCGUUUUCUCUGCUUAAGGUACGAGUCGUUUUCUCUGUUUGGGUGCAAGUCGUUUUCCUAGCUUAAGAUACGAGUCGUUUUCUCGGCUUCGGGGGUGCGAGUCGUUUUCCCGGCAUAAGAUGUGUAUCGUUUUAUGUGCUUUGGGCGGUGCGAGUCAUUUUUUCGGCUAAAGAGAAGCCAGUCAUUUUCCUGGCUCAGGAUGCGGGUCAUUCUCUUGGCUUCGAGGGUGCAAGUCAUCUUCCCAGCUUAAGAUGUGAGUCGUUUUAUCGACUUUAGGGGUGCGAGUCGUUUUCUCGACUUAAGAUACAUGUCAUUUUCUCGGCUUUGAGGGUGCGAGUCGUUUUCUCGGCUUUGGGGGGUGCGAGUUGUUUUCCUGACUUAAGAUGCGAGUCAAAAAUCAUGAAUUCAAAAGAAAAAUAAUGGAUGCAAAUCAGUUUUUCUUCAAUUUUUAAGGAAAAAUCCUUCAUUUUCAUCGUCUUUUUUCUUCAAUUUUUAUUUUAUUUCUUUCACCUCUUUACGGACAUUAUCCUUGGAUUCAUGGAUGAAAAUGUGCACCACUUCAAAUAAAUGUUGGUGAUUGUCCUUUUGAUCUUUAAAGAUGUUUUUUGAUACAUCUUCGACUUAAUCUCUAGUGGCCUCUACCUUACGUGUAAAGACAAUAUACUAGUUACGGCCUCUUGACAUUCACAUAUUUUGUGCCCUAACAUAUGGUUAUUAUAAAAAUUCAUUUUGACAAAAAAAGAUUUAUGACACAAGAAAUUAGUGAAGGAAGGUUCAGACAAUGAUAUUUAAUGAAAAAAUCUAUGGUACAAAAAAAAAAGGAUACAUAGAACUAAAAGAAGAUAAGAUGAUCUCAUAUGGGUAAAUGACUCAAUUUGUUAGUAGUAUUUUGUAAAAGAAGUGUGUUAAUAACUCAUGACACAAUUUCAAUCAUGUUUAUAACCCACUUUGGAAUAUAUGAUUUGCUCCAAUCUAUCUUCACAGUCUUUCAGAAUAUAUUAUGUUUCGACUUUGAUGUGUGUCUGUACGCCAUAUUAUUUGGUCAUCUUUUUUAGAUUCUCAAACUAGUGAUCUUUUUUCAUUCUAAAUUUUUUUGGGGCCUUAAUUUUUGCUUAGAUUUCCUUUUCGGGUUUUCAGCCUAACAAGCUUUUUUUCUAACAUUUGUCUAGGUCGCCCUUUUGGGUUUUCGACCUACUAGGUCUUCAUUAAUUUUGCACCCUAAUUUUUUCCUAUGUCACCCUUUUAGAUUUUCAACCUAACGGGACUUUAUUCAACUUUGUACCAUAAUUUUUGCCUGGGAUGCCUUUCGGGUUUUCAACCUAGCGGAUUUUUAUUCAUUUUAUACCAUAAUUUUUGGCUAGGUCGUCCUUUUGGAUUUGCAACCUAGCGGGUAUUCAUUUAGAUGUAAUAAUUUUUGAAGCAUCAAUGUGGGCAAAUAGUGAUAAGUCUUCUCAAUCCAUAUUGGUGGGAUCAUAGCCACACUUGAAUGUAUUUUUUUUUUAUGGUAUUGGGGCUCACAUAGUUGGGAGUCCACUUGUCGUGCUAGUCCUUUUAGAUAUGUGAAAUCUUCUUGAACGCUAAUUCUUUCUUUUGAAGCUCUGUAGCUCAUAUGUUCUUAUUUUAAGAUCUUUUGAAAUAAUUGUCCAUGACAUGAGACAGUCAACAUUUUUCUUGAAUUGAAUUCAGUCAAUCAGCACAAAUCAUUACUCUUGAUCAAGGGAUUUUUGUUUGAGUGGGGCACACUACCAUUAUUAUAUAUAAUAAGGAACAAAUGGGUGUCCUAGUUAUAUUCUGAUACUCAUGAAGGGUAUUCCAUAACUACGAGAUAAUAUUUAGUAUGAUAAUUUUCCAUCUAGCUUUCCUUAUACAUUUGAUAGUAAGCAAGAUCGUUGUGACUUUCAUUCUUGUGAGUGACUAUUUUUAAUCAUGGCUUACUUUUAACAUUGAAGAUAAAAUAGUUAGAACGUCAACUAGUGGAUUAUAUUGUUGAUGGACAUGAUAAUCUUCUUAUCCCGAUUUUUCCAUUCUUGAUUUAAUUAAUUGAGGAUUACAUUCAAGUCUCAUAUACUUCCAACAUUUUACUUUCGAUUCAUAGGUGGAUAGAAUAUUCAUUGUACAAACUUCAAAUCCCUCAUCACAGUUAGACAAUGAUAAAGAUAAAACGACAUUUCUAGAGGAUUAAUGUGUUGUUAAUUGUACACCCCAACAUAUUGAAGUCAAUCCAAUUGAAUGAAUUUUUUUAAUUAUUCUCCCCUUUAGUGGACUUAAUAACAUGACUUAAAUUAAUUAAAUGUGAUAUUAUGAAACUUAUUUAUGAAUGAAUUACUUUUACAAAUAUGCAUUAGUUAUGGUUAGAAGAAGGGAAAGACAAGCAAAAGAUAACAAUACGUUGUUUUCAUUUUUAUCCUUAUUUAACUUAUUUUUAUAAGUAUUUUUAAGUUUACUUAAACAAGUAGAAUCAUAAAUGAGUGUUUGUGUGAGGAUUGUGAUUUUUCCCAUAACCCUGAUGGUUGAAGAACACGGUUUCUUAAUUUAAUAUUUUUAUUUUAUAUUUAAAACAAGAAAAUAAAUUUUGUUUAAAUUAUAACAUCAUAUAUACGAAACUGGAAACAUGAUAGUAUUAUAAAAAAAUAUUGUAAGCAAUUUUGCUAUAUGAACAAAGUUAACAUGAAAACAAUAAAUAAAAACUAAGACAUUGGUUCAUAAAAAAUGAUGCAUGAAAAGCAACAAAGAUUAUAAACAAAACAAAAUUAUUAUACUAGUUUGUUUUAGAGAAACGAAAUUUACAUACCGAAUUUGCAAGAUUAUUUUGACUCCUUUUUAUUAUCUAUGUCUUCAGUUUCUUUUUUUUUUCUUAAUUGGUGAUUAUGGAGAAGGCUGUGUAAGAAUGGCACAACAUAGAAUCAACAAUGGCUUUUUGGUAGUCGGAUUCAAGCACCUAUAAUCAGUCUCUAUUUUAUAAUCUCCUCUCCAUUCCUCUUCUAAGAGUCUCAUAACACUCUUAUUUAUAUUAAUAAAUUAGGGUUAAGUAAUUUUUAGAAUUAAAUGUCUACCAUUUUAACUAAUUAAGUUGAAUCCUUAAGUUUUAUUUUCUUUUAAAAACUUUCCUCAAAUUCUAAAAAAUCAUAUUAAAUAAAUCCUUCAUAUUUAAUUUACUCCAAAAAUCCCAUAUUUAUUAAUUUAAUAUUUAAUUUUGUUUUAUAUUAUAUUAAAUAAAAAUAAAAAGUUUUGAAUUAAUAUUUUUAUUACCAUGUUAUUAUUAGAUCAAAAAAAGUAGUAAAUAAAAAAUAAAUCAAAAGUCUAACAUAUAUAUGUUUUCAUUAACAAGCGAAUUCAUACGAAAAAUUAAAUAAAAAUUAUAUGUUGAAAUAAAAAAAUAGAAAGUUAGGAUAAAAAGUUCAAAAUACUAUUUUUAUUAGUUUUUUUUUGGUGUGAAUAUCAAGAAAAAAUAGACAAAAUUAGGUGUCAACAAGAGGAUGCGUUGAUCAGAGGCAACAUGAUCAGAUGAAAGACAUAGGGAAAACAACUGAGGCAAAAUGGAAGGAGAAAAUUAGAAGCAGAUUAGAAGAAGAAAAAUCAAAGACAAAUUAGAAGAGAAUCAUCAAAGGCAAAAAUAGGAAGCAGCUUCAAAGGCAAAAAUAAGAGAGCAACACCAGAGGCAAAAAACUAGAAACAAUUAUUAUAGGUAAAAAUACUUAGGUUUUUGAAACAACAACUAGAGGUAAAAAGCCCAAAGGUACAUAAAACUCCUAGAGACAACCUACAGAGACAGGGAUUAAAGAGCGUCCAAGGCAUGCACAUUUGCCUUCAGUGAUCAGAUUCACACAUUAAACUACCAUUUUUUACUAAAAAAUCCUAGGAGUUCUUAAAUUUCUAACACAACAGUCAUGCAAUGAUCAAACGAACAAUUUGCAUGACAUUUUAAAAUCAUUUGGUGCAGUUUCAAAAUACUUAUAUGCUAAAAAACAAUCAAUUUUCCUCACGCUCUAAGUUCUUCUAACCUGUAACACCUCUAAAAAAGUUUAUGAUAAAAAGUAAAGAAUUCCAGUGAAUAAAUUAUCAAAAACCUCAUGCUAAAAGAAGAUAAUGUAACAUAACUCACAAUUUUUCUGAAUAGAUGCUUCUUGAAUGUGAAUUAACUAGAAUGGUCGGUCUACUUCUUAAUUUUCUUCCUCUUCAGGUUCAGUUUCCUUUCGUGGUUUCUUUUUCCUCACCCAAAUAUGAUUUGAUGGUAUAUUGUAGGAUGAGGAGAGAAUCCUCGCAUGCAAGAAGUUAGAACAGGUCUGAUGAGGUUAAUGGAGUUAGUGUUUUUGAAAAAUAUGGGGAAAAUGAUGAACAAUGUAUUGGUGAGUUAUUCGGACUGGCUAUGGGUAGAACAAAAACACUGAGAGAAUGUUUGUGUUUUCUCAAGAAUGGGAUAAAAGUGGGGGAAAUUAAAGAAACUCUCCAUUUUGACCUUUAGACAUUACUUAUUU